rnacentral:misc_RNA from 1 species
GUAUUGCUUUUUUUUGGCCGAAGCCUAGGAUACAUUCAUUGACCUUUAAGUGUAUAUGAAAACAUAGACUCGGAAAUUAAUCCUAGUCUACAGCAAGUGCACAGGUGGAUGUAAAGGCGGGAGUGCACGGCCUGUGAAAGCCAGCAACAUCCCUUUGGAUUCGAUAAUGAUCCUUCCGCAGGUUCACCUACGGAAA